rnacentral:misc_RNA from 1 species
UUUUGAUAAAUCAAGACGAGGGAAUAAAUUGUUAGCGUAAAAAUGCAGGAUUUGGUAGCGCCGGUAACUCAUAUAAAAUUCGAAAUGGAAGUAGCUCUAGAUCAGCAACUAGGGUCACAACCUCUUCCAUUCCCUGGGAUGGACAAAUCAGGGGCAGCGAUAUGUACAUUCUACCUAAGCAAUGUUUGUAGCAAGGGAGUUGCAUGUCCAUAUAGACAUGUCAAAGGAGAUCGAACUGUUGUGUGUAAACAUUGGCUUAGAGGUCUGUGCAAAAAAGGAGAUGAUUGUGAAUUUCUUCAUGAGUUUGACAUGAGUAAAAUGCCUGAAUGUUACUUCUUUUCCAAAUUUGGUGAAUGUAAUAACAAAGAGUGCCCUUUCCUCCACAUUGAUCCAUCUGCAAAAAUCAAAGACUGUCCAUGGUAUGACAGAGGAUUUUGUAGACAUGGUAAGUACCAAAAAUACCAGUAAUCUUAUUAUCUAAAAUUCUGAUUACCUCUUUCCAGUAUUUAUGAUUAAUCCAAAAGCUUCAACAUCUUAUGUUGUAAUAUACAUGAUAUUUGUUACUAGUCUUACUACAGUGUAUCAUCUUUCUGAUAUAAUUAUAUAAAACAAUAUAUUGUUUGAUAUAUAUUGAAAUAUUAUCCAAAAUGUGUAAAGAUAAUUAAAACACAAGUAUUAAAUAAUCAUAAACAACAGAAUGCCAAUUGAAACUCCUUAAAAUAUUUAUGAAACCAUUAGAGUUUUACCGGUAAUCAGGGAUCUGUUGUUUUUAAUUAUUGAAAUUUAUCUAUUUAUUCUUUACAAUUUUGAUCAUUAUUGUUAUAGUGCUUUUAUUCUACAUAUGCUCUAUCAUCUAUCAAAUGUUAAAUAGGUCCCAACUGCAAAAAUCGUCAUGUCAGAAGAAUUCUGUGCCAGUGCUAUCUCAAUGGAUUUUGUUUAGAAGGACCCAAGUGUAAAUAUAUGCAUCCCAGUUUUGAUAUUCCUGUGUUUGAUCAGCAAACAACUACCAAGAAAGUCAACAUUGUGUGUCAUUUUUGCUCAGAACCUGGUCACAAAGCACUGAACUGUCCUAAAAUGAAAACAUCAGACAGUGAUAAAAUCAAUGUUAUACAGACCACGAUGGACACUGGUCACAAUGCCCCCUACCCUCAGCCUGGAUAUGGUCACCAUGUACAUGUACACCUACCCUACAAGCCCCCAUCCGGCCAGGAUAACUAUAUAGACCCAAGACGACCACUCGACCAAGUGACAUGUUUUAAGUGUGGAGAGAAAGGACACUAUGCUAAUAAAUGUCCAAAGGGUCAUCUAGCUUUUCUUGCUUCGUCCUCAGUCAGCUGAAUGUGAUAAUGUGAUGAAGUGAAAUAUUCAAAUUUGCUGGACAUCGUUCACUGAUGCCAUGGUGUUAUUAUUAUGGCCUGAUGAUACACCGUAAAAGCUAAAAGCAAGUGUAUUAUCCAAAAAUCAGAUGGCAUACUAGUGAUAUGAAGAAUGGAUUUACAAGAAUAUAGAAUGCAUUAAUUUGAACUUUCUUAAAAUGAAGAAUAUUUGUACUGUUGAAAAAGAUUUCUUAUCUAAAUAUUGUUUACUAGAGAUAUCCAUUGCCUAUUUUUUAAUAAAUAUGGAAGGAAUUUGU